rnacentral:sRNA from 1 species
CUUCUGCAGCCUUUGGUCUCUUGCAAGGGUCCCAUGAGCACAGUGACUGCAGAUGUCGACUGCCUCACUACUGACUGAUGUCAUUACCUCUGCCAAUGAAUACUGACCUGAGGGAACUGAAACUUCAUGGUCUCUGCAAGAGACAAUCCUUGUGGCCAUGAUUGUUCAUCUGGGCUACCGAUAACAUUGCAAAUCUUCAGAAUCUCAUCAGCCUCACUAAACAGAAAAAGAGGAUGAAGUGUCAACAGCUCGGCCAUUAUGGCACCCAUAGCCCACAUAUCUGCAAAAUCAUAGAUAGAUGACUGGAGCAAUACUUCAGGUGCUCGGUACCUGAGAUGUU